CAAGUGCUCAGAUGUCUGUGGU
rnacentral:miRNA from 1 species